GACGAACGCUGGCGGCGUGCUUAACACAUGCAAGUCGAACGGAAAGGCCCUGCUUUUGUGGGGUGCUCGAGUGGCGAACGGGUGAGUAACACGUGAGUAACCUGCCCUUGACUUUGGGAUAACUUCAGGAAACUGGGGCUAAUACCGGAUAGGAGCUCCUGCUGCAUGGUGGGGGUUGGAAAGUUUCGGCGGUUGGGGAUGGACUCGCGGCUUAUCAGCUUGUUGGUGGGGUAGUGGCUUACCAAGGCUUUGACGGGUAGCCGGCCUGAGAGGGUGACCGGCCACAUUGGGACUGAGAUAGGGACCAGACUCGUACGGGAGGCAGCAGGGGGGAAUAUUGCACAAUGGGCGGAAGCCUGAUGCAGCAACGCCGCGUGCGGGAUGACGGCCUUCGGGUUGUAAACCGCUUUCGCCUGUGACGAAGCGUGAGUGACGGUAAUGGGUAAAGAAGCACCGGCUAACUACGUG
rnacentral:rRNA from 1 species